rnacentral:rRNA from 1 species
AUUGAACGCUGGCGGCAGGCUUAACACAUGCAAGUCGAGCGGGGUGAUGGUGCUUGCACUAUCACUUAGCGGCGGACGGGUGAGUAAUGCUUAGGAAUCUGCCUAUUAGUGGGGGACAACAUCUCGAAAGGGAUGCUAAUACCGCAUACGUCCUACGGGAGAAAGCAGGGGAUCACUUGUGACAUUGCGCUAAUAGAUGAGCCUAAGUCGGAUUAGCUAGUUGGUGGGGUAAAGGCCUACCAAGGCGACGAUCUGUAGCGGGUCUGAGAGGAUGAUCCGCCACACUGGGACUGAGACACGGCCCAGACUCCUACGGGAGGCAGCAGUGGGGAAUAUUGGACAAUGAGGGGAACCCUGAUCCAGCCAUGCCGCGUGUGUGAAGAAGGCCUUAUGGUUGUAAAGCACUUUAAGCGAGGAGGAGGCUCUUUUGGUUAAUACCCAAGAUGAGUGGACGUUACUCGCAGAAUAAGCACCGGCUAACUCUGUGCCAGCCGCCGCUGUAA